CCGGUUGAUCCUGCCGGACCUGACUGCUAUCGGAUUGAUACUAAGCCAUGCGAGUCAUUGUAGCAAUACAAGGCAGACGGCUCAGUAACGCGUAGUCAACCUAACCUAUGGACGGGAAUAACCUCGGGAAACUGAGAAUAAUGCCCGAUAGAACACUAUACCUGGAAUGGUUUGUGUUCCAAAUGAUUUAUCGCCGUAGGAUGGGACUGCGGCCUAUCAGUUUGUUGGUGAGGUAAUGGCCCACCAAGACUAUUACAGGUACGGGCUCUGAGAGGAGUAGCCCGGAGAUGGGUACUGAGACACGGACCCAGGCCCUAUGGGGCGCAGCAGGCGAGAAAACUUUGCAAUGUGCGAAAGCACGACAAGGUUAAUCCGAGUGAUUUGUGCUAAACGAAUCUUUUGUUAGUCCUAGAACCACUAACGAAUAAGGGGUGGGCAAGUUCUGGUGUCAGCCGCCGCGGUAAAACCAGCACCUCAAGUGGUCAGGAUGAUUAUUGGGCCUAAAGCAUCCGUAGCCGGCUCUGUAAGUUUUCGGUUA
rnacentral:rRNA from 1 species